AUGUCCGACCCGGCCUCCGCCCAGGGGCCCGACGCCGAGAUGCGCGACGCCGCCGCGGCAGCCGGCGACGAGGACGGCAGCGAGGACGACGCGGAGGAGGAGGAGGAGGAGGAAGAGGACGAUGAGGAGGAGGAGCUGCCACCUGCCGAGGAGCCGCCGUCGCCGGCGGCCCCAGAACCGGUCUCGGCCUUUCCGGGGAACCCGAACCAGCUGACGCUGCUGUUCCAGGGCGAGGUCUACGUCUUCGAGUCCGUCACCCCUGACAAGGUUCAAGCUGUCCUGUUACUGUUAGGAACUGGUGAAAUUCCACCCGGUCUAUCUGCCAUGGUUUUACCCAGUCAACGUGAAAAUAGGGGUUAUGAGGAUUUACUUCAGAGGACAGACAUUCCUGCAAAAAGGGUUGCUUCGCUCAUCAGGUUCCGCGAAAAACGCAAGGGGAGAAAUUUUGAUAAGCAAAUACGCUAUGCUGUACGCAAAGAAGUGGCACACAGGAUGCAGCGUCGGAAGGGGCAAUUUGUUGGAAGAGCAAAUUUGGAGGGGGAAUCCCCUUCUCCAGGCUGUGAUCCUGCCUCCCAGGGCUCAGGCCAAGAUUUCCUGUCUCGAGAAUCAAAGUUGUGUCAGAAUUGUGGCACUAGUGAAAAGAUGACACCGGCAAUGCGUCGUGGUCCAGCUGGUCCAAGGACUUUGUGCAACGCUUGUGGACUGAUGUGGGCCAACAAGGGCACACUGAGAAGUUGCUCCAAGGCAAAAGUUGAAGCUCCUAUGCCUGCAAUUGAGCAGUGCAACGCCGCUGUCGCCCAGUGUCAGACUGGAACCGAUGUCAAAGCACUGCCGGCUCCGAACAACUACGGCGUCGCUCCAAGCAAGGGCGAAGCCAUGGAUAACAGUGUGACUGCGAACGUGACUGCUGCUGCGACAGGAGGAGCGCCGAAAGCGCAGUCAGAAUAA
rnacentral:rRNA from 1 species